GCAGUGGAUCGCCUGCCGAGAUAAAAACCUUCGAAUAUCCAACAUGGUUUGUCUGUUAGGAAAGGAGGGAUCCGUCGCCAGACCGGUGGAGCGCAAGUACUCCGCAAGAAGACGAAGGCCUUGCAUCUGUUGGGCAGCGUUCGACCACGGUCCGAGGGUCUUCGCGAGGUUGAACCGUUUAGAAACUUCCAUCAGUGCACGCUCGUGGUGAUAUUGCCCACAAGCCAGGAUGACGUGGCAGAGGUCGCCGUGCACUCCACAAGUGGGGCAGAGGGAAGACGAGGUGCAGGCGAGACGGUGUUUAAAGGCAGGUGUAAAUGCAACGUUGGACACAACAUUCGCACAAGGAUGGAGGUUUUUAUUGAUAAGUAAAAAUGUAAUAUCGGCUA